GACGAACGCUGGCGGCGUGCUUAACACAUGCAAGUCGAACGGAAAGGCCCUGCUCUUGUGGGGUGCUCGAUUGGCGAACGGGGGAGUAACACGUGAGUAACCUGCCCUUGACUUUGGGAUAACUUCAGGAAGCUGGGGCUAAUACCGGAGGGGAGCUCCUGCUGCACGGGGGUGGUUGGAAAGAUUCGGCUGUGGGGGAUGGACUCGCGGGUUAUCAGCCUGUUGGUGGGGUAGUGGCGGACCAAGGCUUAGACGGGUAGCCGGCCUGAGAGGGUGACCGGCGACAUGGGGACUGAGAUACGCACCAGUCUCGUACGGGAGGCAGCAGUGGGGAACAUGACACAGUGGCGGGGAGCCUGAUGCAGCGGCGCCGCGUGCGGGAUACCGGGUUUCGAGUUAUGAACCGAUUUCGCCUGUAACGAAGCGUGAGUGACGGUAAUGAGUCAGGAAGCACCGGCUAACUACGUG
rnacentral:rRNA from 1 species